rnacentral:rRNA from 1 species
CAGAACGAACGCUGGCGGCAUGCCUAACACAUGCAAGUCGAACGAAGCCUUCGGGCUUAGUGGCGCACGGGUGCGUAACGCGUGGGAAUCUGCCCCUCGGUUCGGAAUAACAGUUAGAAUGACUGCUAAUACCGGAUGAUGACGAAAGUCCAAAGAUUUAUCGCCGAGGGAUCGAAAGACCUCUCACUAUUGGAGCGGCCGAUAUCGGAUUAGCUAGUUGGUGGGGUAAAGGCCUACCAAGGCGACGAUCCGUAGCUGGUUUGAGAGGACGACCAGCCACACUGGGACUGAGACACGGCCCAGACUCCUACGGGAGGCAGCAGUGGGGAAUUUUGGACAAUGGGGGAAACCCUGAUCCAGCCAUUCCGCGUGUGCGAUGAAGGCCUUCGGGUUGUAAAGCACUUUUGGCAGGAAAGAAAUCGUGUGGGUUAAUACCCUGCGCGGAUGACGGUACCUGCAGAAUAAGCACCGGCUAACUACGUG